rnacentral:rRNA from 1 species
AGAGUUUGAUCCUGGCUCAGAACGAACGCUGGCGGCAGGCUUAACACAUGCAAGUCGAGCGGACCCUUCGGGGUCAGCGGCGGACGGGUGAGUAACGCGUGGGAUCGUGCCCUUUCCUCCGGAAUAGCCCUGGGAAACUGGGAGUAAUGCCGGAUACGCCGAGCCAUAGCGAUAUGGUUUGGGAAAGAUUUAUCGGGGAAGGAUCGGCCCGCGUUGGAUUAGGUAGUUGGUGGGGUAACGGCCUACCAAGCCGACGAUCCAUAGCUGGUUUGAGAGGAUGAUCAGCCACACUGGGACUGAGACACGGCCCAGACUCCUACGGGAGGCAGCAGUGGGGAAUUUUGGACAAUGGGGGCAACCCUGAUCCAGCCAUGCCGCGUGAUCGAUGAAGGCCUUAGGGUUGUAAAGAUCUUUCAGCUGGGAAGAUAAUGACGGUACCAGCAGAAGAAGCCCCGGCUAACUCCGUGCCAGCAGCCGCGGUAAUACGGAGGGGGCUAGCGUUGUUCGGAAUUACUGGGCGUAAAGCGCACGUAGGCGGACCAGUCAGUUGGGGGUGAAAUCCCGGGGCUCAACCCCGGAACUGCCUCCAAAACUGCUGGUCUGGAGGUCGAGAGAGGCGAGUGGAAUUCCGAGUGUAGAGGUGAAAUUCGUAGAUAUUCGGAGGAACGCCAGUGGCGAAGGCGGCUCGCUGGCUCGAUAC